GGACCAAGGAGUCUAGCAUGUGCGCGAGUCAUUGGGACUCUUACGAAACCUAAAGGCGCAAUGAAAGUGAAGGUCCGCCUCGCGCGGACCGAGGGAGGAUGGGCGGUCGCCAGCGGCCGUCCCGCACUCCCUGGGCGUCUCGUUCUCAUCGCGAGAAGAGGCGCACCAAGAGCGUACACGCUGGGACCCGAAAGAUGGUGAACUAUGCCUGGUCAGGACGAAGUCAGGGGAAACCCUGAUGGAGGUCCGUAGCGAUUCUGACGUGCAAAUCGAUCGUCGGAACUGGGUAUAGGGGCGAAAGACUAAUCGAACCAUCUAGUAGCUGGUUCCCUCCGAAGUUUCCCUCAGGAUAGCUGGCGCUCGCAUCUCGCGAGUCUCAUUCGGUAAAGCGAAUGAUUAGAGGCAUUGGGGUCGAAACGGCCUCAACCUAUUCUCAAACUUUAAAUGGGUGAGAUCUCCGGCUUGCUUGAACUGUGAAGCCGCGAGAUAUCGGAUCAGAGUGCCAAGUGGGCCACUUUUGGUAAGCAGAACUGGCGCUGUGGGAUGAACCAAACGCCGAGUUAAAGCGCCUAAAUCGACGCUUAUGGGAUACCAUGAAAGGCGUUGGUAACUUAAGACAGCAGGACGGUGGCCAUGGAAGUCGGA
rnacentral:rRNA from 1 species